AUGUUGAAGAAUUCCUGUGGCCCUUUUGGCAUUUGUGAAAAUGCCAUGAGGGAUCGCGGUUCCUUCACCAGCUUCGUGCUGGGCGUGCUGGUGGUCUGCGUGGUGCGCACCUGCUGGGUCCUGCAGGGCAUCAUCUACACCCGCCCUAGCUCCGGCGACGCCAGCUGCAUCCAGCCCUACAUAGCGCAUCGGCGCCAGCUACAGCUGAGCGUGUACCCCACGACGCGGUCCCACCUGGGUGCUGAGAACAGCAUCGACCUGGUCUUGAAGGUGGAAGACUUCGAUGUGGAGUCCAACUUUGAAAAGACGGUUCCUGUGUCUGUACCGAAGAAAACAAGAAAUAACGGGGCGCUGCAUGCCUGCAUCCUCCUCCAGCACGCUGGGAUCCUGCCUUGGCACGAGGGGAAGCAGGUGCACCCGUCAGUCCUCUGACCACUGCCGUGGUCCCCAAGCCGGAAGAAAUCAACCUGCUCCCUGGGGAUUCUGAUACACAGCAGCAGAUGGAGGCGGAGAAGAAGCCAACUGGCGCGCCGAUGAGCCGCUGUCCCACGGGAGACCGCGGCUGGCGCUGAACGCGACGGCGGACAACUUCGUCUUCCGCUGGCGCUCCCUGCCAGCCGCCGUGCAUCGGCACAUGAAGAUGGUCCAGCUGGAGAAGGCCGUGCACCACCUCCCCAUGCUGCUCAUCCGCCAGGUUGGCAACCGCGGGAAGGGCCUGAGGGUCAUAAACCGCUCCCCACAGAGCUGCCCCUCCCGGUGUCCUACGACAAGGUCUCGCUGGGGCGGCUGCGCUUCUGGAUCCACAUGCAGGUUGCCGUGAACUCCCUGCGGCAGUUCGGGUUUUCAGAGAAAGAUGCUGAUGAGGUGAAAGGAAUCUUUGUAGAUACCAACUUGUACUUCCUGGCGCUGACCUUUUCCGUCGGAGCAUUCCAUCUUCGCUUUGAUUUCCUGGCCUUUAAAAAUGACAUCAGUUUCUGGAAGAAGAGCAUGAUUGGCAUGUCCACCAGGGCAGUGCUCUGGAGCUGCUUCAGCAUGUGGUCAUCUUCCUGUUCCUGCUGGAUGAGAAGAGGAGCCUGCUGGUGCUGGUCCCAGCGGGCAUGGGAGCCUCUAGCAAGCAUGGAAAGUGAAGAAGGCAUUGAAGAUGACUGUUCCGCGUAGAGGCCUGAGACUGGAACUUCAGUUUGGCACUUACAGAGAAUCCAAGAGGAAAACCAAGAAGUACCAUACUCAGGCCAUGAAGAACUUGUCUUACCUGCUGUACCCUCUCUGCAUGGAGGGUGCUGUCUAUUCGUUCCUGAACAUCAAGUAUAAGAGCUAGUACUUCUGGUUAAUAACAGCUUUGUCAGUGGGGUCUAUGCCUUCGGCUUCCUCUUCAUGCUGCUCCAGCUCUUCCUGAACUACAAGCUGAAGUCAGUGGCACAUCUGCCCUGGAAGGCCUUCACCUACAAAGCUUUCAAUACCUUCAUUGACUAUGUCUUUGCCUUCAUCAGCACCAUGCCCACGUGGUGUUUCUGGUCUAUCUGUCCCAGUGGUGGCUUUAUCCUGUGGAUAAACGCAGAGUGAAUGAGUCAGGGGAGUCCUAAGAGGAGGCCACGCGCACACCCCACACGGACUGAAGGCCGCCCACCCUU